rnacentral:lncRNA from 1 species
CUUUGAAUUUGCAUCUUGCGAUCUUGUCAUUCAAGAUAUCCGUAGCUGUAGUACUCAGCGGAUUUCAUGUGUCUCAGUUCCCACUUGUAAUGGAUGCACCUAGUGGCCUAAAGUACAGCCCAGGCUGGCAGUUCUUAAAGAGGCAAAGUAUUUCUCCCAAUGCCAGAAAACACCGACUGUUGGACCUGAGGCGCAUCUGGAGACCAUGCAGAAGGACCAUCUCGAGGUCUUCACUAAUGCGGAUCAAGACGACGGAAGCAUUCAUUGAGUCCCACCCUCACUUACUAUCUCAGGAAGGAACUAAAAAUCAAGAAAUUGAUAACUCUAUUAAAAAGUGACUGCAUUGAGAUUCUGUUCCAGGGAACUUGAAGAAACACUUGGAAACACAUGCAUGUUAGUACAGAAAAAAGUGGAGAUCUGUAUCAUCUGACUGGACAUGUGAAUUCAGGCUCUCAUGUGAGUCAUUUUUGGACCACGAAUGUUGAUGAGAUUACUGAGAAAAAAUAAAAUGAUGGACAAAAAAUACAAAGAAUAAAAAUGUCUAACAUUUUCUUCUUAGGCAAUUUAGUUUGGGAUUUUUUUCUCCAGCUUUAUCUAAUUUUAGAGCAUUUUUCUCACCCCAAAAAGAAAUUGUUAGUGGUCACUGCCUAGUUUGUCCACACCACAGCCCCUGGCAACCACUAAACUACUUUCAGUUUCUGUGGGUUUAUCUAUUCUGGACAUUUCAAGUGAAUGGAAUCAU